AUCUAUGGCCAUACCACCCUGAACAUGCCCCAUCUCGUCUGAUCUCAGAAGCUAAGCAGGUCGGUCCUGGUUAGUACUUGGAUGGGAGACUGCCUGAGAAAGGUAGCCUGCCAAGGAGG
rfam:Erinaceus europaeus unplaced genomic scaffold scaffold00633, whole genome shotgun sequence